rnacentral:rRNA from 1 species
UACGUAGGGUGCGAGCGUUGUCCGGAAUUAUUGGGCGUAAAGAGCUUGUAGGCGGUUUGUCGCGUCUGCCGUGAAAGCCCGGGGCUUAACCCCGGGUCUGCAUUCGAUACGGGCAGGCUAGAGUGUGGUAGGGGAGAUCGGAAUUCCUGGUGUAGCGGUGAAAUGCGCAGAUAUCAGGAGGAACACCGGUGGCGAAGGCGGAUCUCUGGGCCAUUACUGACGCUGAGGAGCGAAAGCGUGGGGAGCGAACAGG